AAUAGAUACCCAGGUAGUCCACGCUGUGACCGAUGAGUGUUGGGGCUUGGAGAGUUUAAAAUUCUCGGGGCUCUAAGCUAACGCGUUAAACACUCCGCCUGAGUAGUACGGUCGCAAGACUGAAAUUUAAAGAAACUGACGGAGACUUGCACAAGCGGUGGAAUAUGUGGUUUAAUUCGAUGCAACGCGCAAAACCUUACCAGCCCUUGCAUGUGGAGGAGCCAAUUUUUGUUUGGUUAGAGUUUUCUUGGUUUGAAGGUUCUUUAAAAAUCCUCCACACAGGUGCUGCAUGGCUGUCGUCAGCUCGUGUCGUGAGAUGUUUGGUUAAUUCCUUUAACGAGCGCAACCCUCUUCCUAGUUUUUUUUAAUAGGGAUUUUUCUCUUGGAGAGCUGGGAUACUGCCCGGUAACGCCGGGAGGAAGGUGAGGAGGAUGUCAAGUCGGUAUGGCCCUUAAGGGUUGGGCUACACACGUAUUACAAAGGUAGGUACGAAAAGUUGCGAUAAUGUGAAUUGGAGCAAAUCUACAAAGCCUAUCUAAGUUCGGAUUGCUCUCUGAAAUUGAG
rnacentral:rRNA from 1 species